ACCGCGCCUAGGCGCUCAUUAGCGGUCAACAAUUGCUCUUGACCGCUAAAUAAAACACCAAGCCACUUGGUUUGGCAUUUCCGUCGCGCAAAGCACAUUGGUGGCGGUGUGCCAAUGCACGCAUUUUAGAACAAUGACAUUUAGAAUGCUAUAAAAAGUGGCCAACAGGUCCUCUCUCCACUCAUUAAAUUUUGUACGCCGCCGCCAAUGCGCACCUUU
rnacentral:lncRNA from 1 species